UACAGAGGUCUCAAGCGUUGUUCGGAUUCAUUGGGCGUAAAGGGUGCGUAGGCGGCGCGGUAAGUCGGGUGUGAAAUCUCGGGCUUAACUCCGAAACUGCAUUCGAUACUGCCGUGCUUGAGGACUGGAGAGGAGACUGGAAUUUACGGUGUAGCGGUGAAAUGCGUAGAUAUCGUAAGGAAGACCAGUGGCGAAGGCGGUCUCUGGCCGAUGACUGACGCUGGAGGAGCGAAAGCAUGGUAGCGAACAGG
rnacentral:rRNA from 1 species